rnacentral:lncRNA from 1 species
ACUGUCCUUGGACUUCCCUGGAGAACGUAGAAGUAAGUGCGUGGGGUAAACUUAUCAUUUACAGUUUUUCUUUAUUUAUAAUAUUGUUGUAAAUAAGUGUGUGUGUGUGUUGCCCAGGAAACAUGUGGGGAGGUCAGAGGACAAUUUUAGGGAUUCCACUCUUCCCACCACGAGUUUGGGGGUUAGAAAUCACAAGGUUAGAUAGAAUUGCUCAGCAAGCCCCUGUACCCGCUGAGCCUUCCUUCUCACAAGCCCCAGUUAACUAGUUUUUUUCCAGACCUCUGCUCCGACUUUCCAAAAGCUUAUAAUGUCUGCGGGAAAUAGGGGUCUCACAGGGAACUCAGGUCCUCACGGGAAAAUCAGGUAAAUCAAAUACUCAUUUGGUAACCACAGGCAAACUAUGCGCUUUUAGCAGCAGGGCAGACAGUUCUGAUGAACGCUAACCAGUAGACGGUAACCACAGUGAUUGGCAGAGCUUGGACGCCAAGUCUAACCUGCUCUGAGGUAUUUAUUACCAGUGAGCUAGAGUCAAGGGUAAUAAGUGACUUCAAGGAGAUGUUAAAAUUUUGUUUUGGGGUGCCGAUUAAAUAUGACCUUUCUCUCAGAAGUAGGGUAAGGGAGUCUGAGGUGCCCUAGUCUUAGGACGUCGGUGCGCUUGCAUGUGAAUUCGAUAGGCAUGACCACAGGGAUAGUCAAUUUCCUUUAUGUCCUGUACCUGAGAAGAAAUGGAAGCAGCAACCUGCCUUUCGGAUUAUCUUUUCACAGCUGAUGUGCACUGUUGGCUCCUGUUGUGCUGCACAGGCCUCCGUACAAACGGAACUCAAGGUGGGUGUUCGCAACUGACACGGUGUAGAAAUGCUUUUUAAUGGUGAGCUUUAAAGAUAAUAGUAAAAUAAA